CAAACCCGAUCCACCCAGCUUUCUCAAUCAAAUGGCUUUUUAUAAAAAAAACCAAAACAGGUUCUCUUCUUCAAAUUUUUCCAGCGGCAUCUUGAAUUUAAGGAGUGAGAUGUUAGAGGAAGGAGCUAGGAAUGGACCCCGCAAGCCGCAACCACCUUUGAUCUGAGGACGAUCUAUGUUUUUGAAUUUUGACGAGCGAUUUCUGUCUCCUUUGAUCUGACGGUGCCUCUUAUUACUUCCUGGUUUUCAGUUUUCCAAGUUGGGAUGACUUAUGUAUCAUGGAUUUGAUAUUAUAGUUGAUUACGUAGGCGUCCCAAUGAAGUCCUAGACCACACUUUGAAGCAAAAAGAGUGAGCUUUAAUUCUCAUGAAAGCAGUGAUAAGUGUCCACAGAAAAGUAGCAAGCUAAGCUGCAUCAUAUAUAUCCUGAAGCUUAUUAUCAAGCAAAAGAAACUUUGC